rnacentral:rRNA from 1 species
AUGCUCCGCAUCAGGAGUGGCAUCACCCUCCAAGCCGAGAAAGGGAAAGAAGACCAACAACAUCCUCCAAGCAACAGUACCCUACAAGUAGCAGCAGCAGCAACACCACCUUCGAAGCAGAGAAAGAGAAAGAAGAGCAGCAACACCCUCCAAGCAAAGAAAGGGAAAGAAGCAGAGAAAUGGAAAGAAGACCAGCAACAUCCUCCAAGCAGCAGUACCCUCCAAGCAGAGAAAGGGAAAGAAGACCAGCAACAUCCUCCAAGCAGCAGUACCCUCCAAGCGGCACCACCUUCGAAGCAGAGAAAGAGAAAGAAGAGCAGCAGCACCCUCCAAGCAAAGAAAGGAAAAGAAGCAGGAAAAGGGAAAGGAGCAAUUUCGUGCGUCCUUGCAAAGGUUGUGUUCAGCAGGAUAAUGGAAGCAAUUGGCAGGCCAGUAAUGUGUUAA